UACGUAGGGGGCAAGCGUUGUCCGGAAUCAUUGGGCGUAAAGAGCGCGUAGGCGGCCCAGUAAGUCCGCUCUGAAAGUCAGGGGCUCAACCCCUGGAUGCGGGUGGAUACUGCUGGGCUAGAGUCCGGAAGAGGCGAGUGGAAUUCCCGGUGUAGCGGUGAAAUGCGCAGAUAUCGGGAGGAACACCAAUGGCGAAGGCAGCUCGCUGGGACGUGACUGACGCUGAGGAGCGAAAGCGUGGGGAGCGAACAGG
rnacentral:rRNA from 1 species